rnacentral:lncRNA from 1 species
UUUUUUUUUGAGGUGUUAUUGAUUAGUUUCUCCUGAAAGAAAGUACUACUGUACUAGGCUUUCUUUUUUUUACACAAAGUACUACUGUAUUUUCGGCCCACUGCCUUGUUGGGGCGAGUAAUAAUAAGCAGGCUAACGUGGCUUUGGGCCACCCGCUUUCGGCCUGCCUGUUUUCCCCGAUACGAUAAACGGUAGACGGCCUAGGGUUAUCGUAAUGACAACUGAUCGUCGUCAAGCCGCCGCGCCGCCUGAGGAGAUGGCGGGGAGCUCGCCGUUCUUCGCCGCCUUCACCGGGAGCGUUGCUGAUGGACACGUCGCGCGCCGGGGGCUCGGAACCCCUCUGGUUUGUCGCGCGCCCUGAAUCUCUCGCGUAGAUUACAAUUGCAGACAGGAGCAGAUGAUCAGCUGCCUAAUCUUCAUUGACGAUGAUUGAGCCAAUCGUAACAGUAGGCAAUCUCUGCGAGGGGGUCGGCCCACAUUGCCGGCGCGGAGGAUUUCGCGAGCCCGUCGCUCUGGGCCUCGGGAGCGGCCUGCUCUGCUCGUGCCGGACCCUAGCUAUAAAAUGCCGGCGAAUCCCCAACCCUAACCCUCCUUUCAUUUCCGAAUUCCGAUCCUUCUUCCGGCGGCAGCGAACGCCCACUGCUCGAGCCUAGCAAGAAGCUUCCUUCAAGGUACGGAGCUGUUUCUCUGCGUCCCCGAUAGUUCAUGUCCGGGGAUCUUAUAGCUAGACCUCACUCUCAUUGUAAGGUAGGACUAGAUCCAAGUGGAAACAUUUGCUUAUCCCAUAUGAUGUAACCACAAAUGUUACUGUUCUUCACCAUUUUGCUUGCGGGCGAGAGAGGGGUUGAGGAUGGGCAACCGACCUGUUGGAAGCUAGUCGUUGAGCUUUUUCUGUAAAUAAAAAAGCUAGCUGGACAAAAGCAUCGAUCUGCUGUCAACUUUAGAUUGAGGGGGUACUGAGUCUGCAUAUUCUUUUUGUUGUUAUUAAGAUCGAUUGGCUGCAUCUGUAGCGUCAGUGCCUGGUUGUCUGAUUUCAUAUUGGCCUGUUGUAAGUUCUGUACCAGUAGAUGAUAUUAAUUGAGAAGUGCAUAUUCACCUUAUCUCUUCAGUGUACAGAACUUAGUGAACCAUGUACUGUAUUUUCAUGACCUCGUGAGACCUGAAGAAAAAACCGACUGCCAAAAAAAAAGAACUGCAGAAAAAAUCAGAAAAUUCGCUAAAGCAUGUCAAGGUGCCUUUCCUUUGUGGGGCUCUCAAAUGGGAAAGUAAAGUUUGAGUUAAGAUCUAAUUCCCCCUGAUGAGACGGCACGAGUGAGCCCACCGUAAGCCUCACACCCCCGAAAAGUGUCGCUGCGGGGGCACCCUUUAACUAGUCACCCUCAGUAAAACCAUCCCCAUUGCUCCCCAUUAAUAAUGUGCCUUGGAAGUGGAAGACCGGCUUGGACACGUUUCGAUCGAGGCCCUAUGAAUAAGAUGGAGUCCAUCUAUCCUGUGGCCGCCAACCCUAACUCUUCUUCUACUUCUGAUCGAUCUCUCCUACCAGCAAGAAUCUUUGUUGACUCAUCUUCGGAAGGAACAUAAGUACGGGGCAGUUUUUUCCUCUUGCCUACCUCUGCUAUUAGUUUUGUUCAUAUUCGGCGAUCUCUAGCUAGAGUGAAUUGUUAGCCAGUGUACAGGUAGGGUGUACUAUAUUAUCUAUAUAUGAUCUUAGGAUAUUGUAUUGGAUAGAUGCAGCAUGGAAUAAAUGUUCGUCAUCUUACUUGCCAAAGAUAAGAAUACAUCUACAGAGCGUAUGGUCGAUGGAGUAUAUAUAUCCUCCAAUUAGAUAGGAAAUUCUUGUUAGUUAGAUUAUUUUUCACAUACAUAACGGAAUAACAAGAUUUCUCAUCCAACUUCUGUGGCCAGUUUGAAGUGUUUGACAUCUUUUUUGGUGUAAAUAAAAGCGGGACGAAAUUAAGCAUCUGCUGUAAAUAUGACUUCUUGCGGGAUGGAAAUUAAGGCUGCAUGCAUAUUUAGUUUUUGGGAUAUUUAUUAGGAUGGAUUUGCAUUUUUUGUCAAAUUCACAUGUCGUCAAAAUAUAGCCAGUCUGGGUACCCGCAUGAAUACUCUGAUAUCUUCUCUUGAGUUAGUCCUCUUGGCUGACUUGGCAUUCACAUGUCUUCCAUUAGAAAGUGUUAUUAGUGUUACUAGCCAGUUAACUGCGAAGUGGACAUUCACUUUAUCUCUUCAAUGUAAUAUACAGAGCUGAGUGAAGCCUGCAUUAUACUCAAAACUAUACUUUGCAUGCUAGGCUUAGUGCGACACAUUGUUAACUGUAAACAAGACAAGUAUUUACGCAGUAGAUUUCUACCAUUUAAUUAUAGUGGGUGGGUGGCGGCGACAUAGGGGACACAGAGCUGGGGGUUAUCUAGCUGGGUGAAAGCAUUGAUCCGCUAUUAACUUUAGCUGUCGGGGGGAAUUGAGGCUGGAUAGUCUUUUUUUGUUUAAGAUUGAUUGACUGUAUCUGUAAAGUCAGUGUCUUGUUAGCUGAUUUGGGAUUCGCUGGUUCCAUAUGAGUGGAAGUGCUGGUCAGUUAAUUGGGAAGUACAUAAUCAAUUCAUCUCUUCAGUGUACAGAACUGAGUGAACCAUGUACCGUAUUUUAAUGACUCUUCAAGAAUGCUAGGCUUAGUAUGACACCUUGGUCUGUAGAAACAAUACGCAGUAGAAUUCUGUUGUUUCUUCCAACUUUUUGUAAUCAUUGAUGUUAAAUAACACUGUAUAAAACUUAAUUCGUGCUAUUUGCUUUGCUCAUUCAGAAUGUACGUCUUGGUCAAGAGCCCGGCCGGCAGGACGACCCGCCUGAGGGUCCACCCAUCAGAUACCGUGCAUGCUGUCAAGGCAAAGAUCCAGGAACAGGUCACCCUCGUCUUCAAUGGGGUGCAGCUAGAUGACAACCUUACACUGGCCGAUUACAACAUUCAGCAUGAAUCCACCCUUGACCAUCAGGAGAAAAUGAAGAUCUUCGUGACCGAGACGGUGGCGGUCAGGACCAUCACUAUCGAGGUCAACAGGCUAGACACUGUCAAUGACUUAAGAGCCAAGAUCCAGGAGCUUGAGGGCUUCCCGAAGGCUCAGCAGUGCCUUGUCUUUGCCAACAAGCGGCUGGACGAUGGGAACCGCACCAUGGCUGACCACAACAUUGGCAAUGAGUCCACCCUUCUCCUCGUCCUCCUCCCGUGUAUUUCGAGAGGAGACAUGAUGCAGAUCUUUGUGAAGACUCUACAAGGAAAGAGCAUCAGCCUCAAGGUUGGGAGCUUGGAUACAGUCGACAGUGUCAAGGUGAAGAUCUACGAGAUGAAGCACGCCCCAUACCCGAAACUGCAGCGCUUCGUGUAUGCUCACAGGUAGCUGGAGGGCAGCAGCACCCUCGCUGACUGCAAUGUUCAAUGGGGAUCUACCAUUUAUUUGAUCUACCGUCUGGGUUGUUGCGAUACAUGGCCUGCCAUCGUACAAUGAGUUCUAUUCUGCUGCAGUCGAACUUCCAGUAUUGGUGUGCCGUAAAACUACCAUUCUAGUGCGUUACUAUAUGUUGCUCGAGUAUUGUUCAUUUCCAGCAGUGGUGUGGUGAGUUAUUAGGAAAACUGGGUACUAUUAUUUAGUAGUAUGUUAAUGUGAUGAGUACUCCUUUUAUCUAUCUAAAUAUGAAGAACUUCUAUUAUUGUCAUGUUCGGUUAAACAUUCUUUUGGAGAGGAUUGGAGAGGUAUGGAUGCAAUUGAUGUUGAUUUUGACUUAUAGCAGAUUUAAUCCUCCCCAAUCCUCUAAAAUUCCCUUCAAACCCUUUGCAACCAAACAAGUCUUAAGGGUCGGGUCUGUCUUGGCAUCAGUUGGAUUGCAAAAUACAGUCUGAAUGCAGUUUCACCAAACAUAGACUCCAUUGUUUCUUUUUCAGAUACCCUUUUUGUGUUUAUUCAUGUUUUCCUAUAUAAGAUAUUGUCACACAGAUCUUGUGAACCGCAUGAAGGUCACAUCAAGCUCGAAUUGGGACUGGAAAACAGAGUUGGGAGUCUUGUCAAUAUCUCUGGUAACAAAAUAUGAAGAAACAAAUUCCAAGUGAAGAGAAUUUUUUUUUUGGUACUGCAGAUAAAAAAUCAGAAGAAUAAAACUAUUUGAGUAGUCAAUAGUUUUUCUACGAUAAUGUACUUCCUUGUUUUUUGGACCUCUUUAUAUUGGUAGGGUCUGGGAUUGCAAGAAGAAACUGACGAGUUUGCAUGGUAACUCCAUGGUUAAGAAGAUAAGAAAAGGCUUGAAGAAACAGACACCGCCACAUUUUUCAAUCCAAUCAUGGCAUAUCUUGAAUGAAAACUAAAUAAGAAGAAGAAAAGGAGCCACAAACACAUGACAGCAGCUAGCAGUUUUAGCACAGAUUUCAGACUCUGAAACGUAUCAUUUAUAUAUAAAAGAGUGCAGACAUCGAUCUAUUCUCGCACCAUACGUCGAUACGCGUCAUGCAUGCAUCGAUCUAGCAUUACUGAUAUACAUACCAUCACUGCAGCAUGUACACUAAUUGACCAUAAUUAGUGCCACACUGAUCAAUUAUUAGCUAGAGUUGUAGAUAGAGUACUGGAAGAAGAUGCAGAGCGGCACGGUGACCACUAACGGAUCAAGGGGGGGCUAUCACUAGCCGCGAGCCCGAGUGCGCCGACCCCUGCAAAGAAGAAGACGCAGGAUGUGUUGGACGACGAAGUUGGCCCUGUGGUCGUGCAGGAGGCUGGGGCAGCUGCCGACUGCGACGGCGGCCGCAGAGUCGAAGGCGCCCUCGAGGUGGCUGUAGGUGAGCACGCUGACGGCGUGCGCGAAGGCCGCCAACGCCCAGGCGACUUUGAAGUGCAGCCGCCUCCAGCUGCAGGCGUCCGGCGCGAAGGCGGCCACCGUGGCCGCCGCUGCCUGGGCGCCGGAGGAGAGCAGCAGCAUCAGCCCGCCCGUGCGCAUCAUCACCGCGUCCGCCUCGGUGGCCGCGCUCGCCGCCAUGGUGCGUCCGCUCGGGGUGGAGGGUGGCGACGAACAGGCCGAAGGCGGCGGCCGCCAAGCCGAGCACGACGUGCGCCCUCGCCACCGCCCGAAUGAACCACAUCGCCGCCCUGUCAGCAUCUCCACCUGCAGCACCGACAGCAGCAACGGCAGGAGCUCCUCCACUAGCCUCCAUCGCCAGCGCCGCACCAGAAAGAGGAAGUAGCUGCGGGUGUGGCCUCUGUGUGUGGGUGUGUGUGGAGUGUGUAUCGGAUU